rnacentral:lncRNA from 1 species
UGGAUAACAUUUUAUCCAUUACUUCGUUAAGCAAGAUGCAUGGGCUUAGUCUUUAAGUCCUGUGGCCUUAUCUAACAGUUAUUGGCACAUUUCUUAGUUAAGUCAGAUCCAUUGUUCAUUAGCGAGCAUAAAGUCAUCAUUGGGAUCUUCACCUAACAGUUAUUGGGUCCAACCUCAUCUUUAUCUUGAGACAUUAAAUGUCAAUAGAGUGGUUGUACUUUUUCGAUGCAAUCGAACCACUGUAACCAGCC